rnacentral:rRNA from 1 species
GCGAAGCCGCGAGGUGGAGCCAAACCCUGAAAACCGUUCGUAGUUCGGAUUGUAGGCUGCAACUCGCCUACAUGAAGCCGGAAUUGCUAGUAAUCGCGGAUCAGCAUGCCGCGGUGAAUCCGUUCCCGGGCCUUGUACACACCGCCCGUCACACCACGAGAAUGGGCAACACCCGAAGUCGGUGGGGUAACCUUUACGGGAGCUAGCCGCCGAAGGUGGGGCCUGUGAUUGGG